AGAUAAGCCAUGCAUGUCUAGUAUAGCAAUUAUACCGUGAAACUGCGAAUGGCUCAUUAAAUCAGUUAUCGUUUAUUUGAUAGUACCUUACUACUUGGAUAACCGUGGUAAUUCUAGAGCUAAUACAUGCUGAAAACCCCAACUUCGGGAGGGGUGUAUUUAUUAGAUAAAAAACCAACGCCCUUCGGGGCUUCUUGGUGAUUCAUGAUAACUUCACGGAUCGCAUGGCCUUGCGCCGGCGACGGUUCAUUCAAAUUUCUGCCCUAUCAACUUUCGAUGGUAAGGUAUUGGCUUACCAUGGUUUCAACGGGUAACGGGGAAUUAGGGUUCGAUUCCGGAGAGGGAGCCUGAGAAACGGCUACCACAUCCAAGGAAGGCAGCAGGCGCGCAAAUUACCCAAUCCCGACACGGGGAGGUAGUGACAAUAAAUACUGAUACAGGGCUCUUUUGGGUCUUGUAAUUGGAAUGAGUACAAUUUAAACCUCUUAACGAGGAACAAUUGGAGGGCAAGUCUGGUGCCAGCAGCCGCGGUAAUUCCAGCUCCAAUAGCGUAUAUUAAAGUUGUUGCAGUUAAAAAGCUCGUAGUUGAAACUUGGGCCUGGCUGGCAGGUCCGCCUCACCGCGUGUACUUGUCCGGCCGGGCCUUUCCUUCUGGAGAACCUCAUGCCCUUCACUGGGUGUGUUGGGGAACCAGGACUUUUACUUUGAAAAAAUUAGAGUGUUCAAAGCAGGCCUUUGCUCGAAUACGUUAGCAUGGAAUAAUAGAAUAGGACGUGCGGUCCUAUUUUGUUGGUUUCUAGGACCGCCGUAAUGAUUAAUAGGGACAGUCGGGGGCAUCAGUAUUCAAUUGUCAGAGGUGAAAUUCUUGGAUUUAUUGAAGACUAACUACUGCGAAAGCAUUUGCCAAGGAUGUUUUCAUUAAUCAGUGAACGAAAGUUAGGGGAUCGAAGACGAUCAGAUACCGUCGUAGUCUUAACCGUAAACUAUGCCGACUAGGGAUCGGGCGAUGUUCUUUUUCUGACUCGCUCGGCACCUUACGAGAAAUCAAAGUUUUGGGUUCUGGGGGGAGUAUGGUCGCAAGCUGAAUAG
rnacentral:rRNA from 1 species